UUUUGCAAGGCUCAUCUUAGACAGGAUGGACACAGCCUGUGUGAAUAUCAUUUCUUGAUCAAAUACUGUUUUAAGAGUCAAAUAUUCAUGUUCAUCCUCAGGUUUGUCCGUCCACCAGCAACACAAGUAAUGAAGGAAAGAGAAAGUUGGAUCUUCAGGGUGAACCCAGACAAUGUCAACCACCAACACAACAGCCACGUGAUGAUAUACAAGAAGAAAUCAUUCUGACUGAUGUGAAAAACAUCAUGAGAUGUGUCAAACAGAAACUGCCUAACGAA